rnacentral:lncRNA from 1 species
GCUCCCGCCUCUCCCUCCACACCUCCCUGCAAGCUGAGGGAGCGGGCUCCUCCUUGGCCAGCCCAGAAAGGGGCUCCCACAGUGCAGCGGUGGGCUGAAGGGCUCCUCAAGUGCCCCCAAAGUGGGAGCCCAGGCAGAGGGGGCGCCGAGAGCGAGCGAGGGCUGUGAGGACUGCCAGCACGCUGUCACCUCUCACAAGGAAGGCCGCUGUGGAGCGUGGAGGAAGCGCUCCCGGGCGGGAAGGCCGCUGUGGAGACUGGAGGAAGCGCUUCCGGGCGGGGAAGGCCGUUGCGCAGCCUGGAGGAAGCGCUUCUGGGUGGGGAAGGCCGCUGGGAGCAUGAACUUCUGAGCAGGCACUUCUUUCUCCUGCUGCCCUGUGAAGAGGCACAUUCCAUCACAAUUCUAAGUUUCCUGAGGCCUCCCCAGCCAUGUGGAACUGUGA